UAUUUGUAAGCUCGCGUUUAUUUUAAAUGUACUUGUGCGCGCCACCUGUUUUUAAUUAAUAUUUUACAAUCGGCGUGAUAAAAAGUCUAUGAAAUUCGUUUUUUUUUUUUGGUUUUUGUUGAGAGUGCAAGAUCGUGCAUUUUGUGCGUAUGUGUGCGUGCGUGUGUGUGCUUGUGAGGAAGUUAUAGUUUAAUGUUGGUUAGCUUCAAUUGUCGAGCAACAGAGAAAAAAAGAAAUAAAUAAAUAAAACAGCCGCAGCAGCAGCAACAACAACAAAGUGAUGCUGAUUGAUGUCACACACACCACGAAGGAAAAAAAUACAAAAUAAAUAAAUUAUCACCUUGAAGGGGUUUAUCAAUUUCGCCAGCACAUAAAGAUGUUAUCUUGGAAAACCGUUUAGAGGUGGACAGUACUGCAGGUAAGCACAACGAUUCGAGAGGAGAAGACAAAUAACAGCACAAGUAUAAAUCGUUAGGGCUCCGGGGCUGGAUGAAGUGUCAACCUAGUUAAACAUCCGACGCUUAUCCUUCAGAGGAAAAGCACAACCUCCGCCCAAAACCCCAAACCACGCAACAGAUUUCCCGUGGAAGGCCACUUUGUGCUGCCCGCAGGCAGCUUCCUCCGAAUUAGCUGCCAAGCAAAAAUUGACGUUUAUUGUUUUUAGAAUUUUUAUGAGCUCCACUCGAGCAGCAAAAAAAAAAGCACAGAAAUAAGGACGAAAAAAUCGUACGACGUAGGGCGGUCUGUGGAAAAGCCAGAGAUCAAUAGCCAAAACGCUUGGCACGUUCGUCGUCGCCAAGUGGGCACGAAAAGCGUUUCACCAAAUCACGCAUACGACUGGUUGGCAGUACAGUGCGUUCCAUGUGUAUUGUUGGAAAGUGUGUCAAUUUAAUUGCGAGCGAAACGAGACUGGAUUUGCCAGCGCUCACAAACGGAAACGGAAGUGACGCCCGAAAGGAAAAGGGAAAGAGGAAGUGGAAGCGCAGGACAAACGGCUGAAUAAUGCAAAUUAAAACACAAUAAAAUGUAAAACACAAAUGACAACGGAGAACACGAGCUGCAAAAGGCUAAAGGAGCUAAAAAAAAAAAAAUAGCAAAGGGCGAAUCGGUUGACAUGCCAAAAAAAAUGCGAGUGGCGGCAACUUUUCCACUGAAUUGAUUUGAUUUUCAGUCAGGAGUACAGCCGGAAUACGGAGCGUAUGCGCGAUACGUAUACGCGAUUUUAGGGCGCCGGGGGAGCGGCGGAAAUUUGCAUAACUUUGCUGGCGUGGCAUAAACAUCAAAAAACAAAUUGCAAGUAACAAAGGGAAGCAAUGGUCAUAAAAACGGCGCCAGCCUCGUAAAAAAUACGUUACAAAAAAAAAAA
rnacentral:sRNA from 1 species